CUUCCUGUUUCCUCCCCUUAUGUAUUUGGUUAAAUCACUCAAUAUGGCACACAUUCGAAACCAAAUGAUUUUAUAUGAGAAAAAUUGCGUAAUAUUUUAGUCUCAACAUUUUACAACAAAAGAAUAAAUUCAAGGUUAUUUUGAUUUUCAGAGAAUUCUACAAUAAAAGGCAGUCGAACCUUGUAAAAUGAUGGUUACAUUUUCAGGCUGUAGUAAAAUAUAGUGAAACCACGUAAAACCACGUAAUUUCAGAGGUGUCCUGUCCGAUUCCAGUUUAGGUACUUCUUGGUCUAUUUUCGCUAGACUUAAAAACAACGAGUGACUUGUGUGUGAACCACGAACCACACCCCGCCCCCCAGUAAGGAUAGCCGAUCUCCGGGCCGAAAUUUGAAGGAAUAAUACAAUGCCUAGGGAACACUCAAUUGGAAAAUGUACGAAAGGCAAUGGCUUCAGCAUAACUCAAGCUUCUAUGCCGGCGUUUGGCGUGGACAGACUGAGGAAAACUAAGAAUAUGGUCAGGAUAACAAAUUUCUGUACCGAAAUUUGAACUCAGGACCUCGAUUUUGCACACCAGUCAAAAUUUCUAUUGAGUGUGGGUAUUUUAUCUAAAUUAGGAUUAUUUGAUUAUUUGUUUUGUGUUUCGUUAUUUGAAACGGGUCUGAUUGUUGGUUCACUGUGGACAGGAAUACAUAAGAAUUUCUGAGUGCCGAGCCAAAGGACGAGGUCAUCUGGUUAAGAAGUAGAGAAUUCAAGAUUGUGAUUUUUUUAAGUGGUGAAGGCAGAGGCCAUGUCCUGAAAUUCUUAAAAGCCAUACCUAUUUUCAGUAUUCAUUGUGCUCUGAAAAUCUCGUUUAUCUAUGAACCGGUCCGACGUAACAGGUCUUCGUGAUUUUGACUCACAAGACUGUUGGAUUCCGUCAUGCUUCCAAGCCAACUUCUAAUAUUUUAUCGUGUUCUUCUUACGUGCUUAGUAAUUAUCAUAAAGUGUCAACCCAGACGACGACAUAAAUGUGUCAUUCGUAUAUAAGACUUCGUUUUUGAGUUGAUAUUGAACAGUCUGAGUGCAAACGUACUGGAGCGUAAUGUCGUAAACACGUUCUGUGGACGCAGGAAAGUGACGUCUUCAACAGAUGGAUUGUUAUCAAAGCAAUUUUCCCCAUAAUUCUUCACCGUGUCAUGCAGUACGUCAGAACUGUGGAUAAUAUUUGAAAUUGUGGUUACGUUCGUAUAAUACUUCUAACAAAAACAUUUCGUGUUGGCAGUCAAAAUCAAAGAUAUCUGUGUGCGUAAAGAUACGUAUGUACGAAGGCCUAUGAAUGUUCGUACAAAAUAUCUGUGUGUAUGUGCGUGUACAUAUUCUGUUUGUUCUGUUUCUACAACUGCUUCCUGUGGACGAACAUUGGAAGGGUCUGAGUCUGAUGUGUGAGACUGUAUGUUCGUGAUUAAUGGUAUAGAUAUCAUGUCACCCAUUAUAAGCUCAAACUAAACAAAAAAAAAAGAAUACAUGACGUCCAUUUUGAAACUCGUUAAGAACAGAUAAUUAAUUGUAAAAAAUGUAUACAAUGAAGUGACCGAUUCGGGUGUGAAGUAAUUGUUUAAAUGAAUUCUCAACCAGAAUUCUGAGUAUAUCUUAUUAAUGUAAUUGUUAAGUAAUGAUUAUCAAUAUUAUGAUAGGCCUACAUGAACUAUUUGCCAGUGCCAAAUCUUUCUAUAAUAAUAUUAUCAAUUAAUCUACGUAUUUAUGAAUAAUGAAGAAAAUAUCUCCAGUAACUUCAUUUCGUAGUUCUGGAUUCGUGCACUCACAGUCUUUGUAUUGAAUUACUAUGCUUUUUCACGUUUGGUUGAAAACAAAAGCCUACAGUGGAUACUCAAACAUCCCCUUUGAAUGUGUCGUAUCUUCCGCAAUUGAAAAUAUAAUUCCUAAAGGAAACCAAAUAUCCACUUAUGUAAGUGUUUCUUCGAACCUGACCCAUGUAGUGUAGGUUAUUUAAUUAAACAAUACUAUUUGUAAAAGCCACAUGUAUUUUUUAUCUGAUCGGGAAAUAAAUAAUCCUACUUCCCACACCCCA